rnacentral:rRNA from 1 species
GUGGGGAAUCUUGCGCAAUGGGCGAAAGCCUGACGCAGCCAUGCCGCGUGAAUGAUGAAGGUCUUAGGAUUGUAAAAUUCUUUCACCGGGGACGAUAAUGACGGUACCCGGAGAAGAAGCUCCGGCUAACUUCGUGCCAGCAGCCGCGGUAAUACGAAGGGGGCUAGCGUUGCUCGGAAUUACUGGGCGUAAAGGGCGCGUAGGCGGACAGCUUAGUCAGAGGUGAAAGCCCAGGGCUCAACCUUGGAAUUGCCUUUGAUACUGGCUGUCUUGAGUUUGGGAGAGGUGAGUGGAACUCCGAGUGUAGAGGUGAAAUUCGUAGAUAUUCGGAAGAACACCAGUGGCGAAGGCGACUCACUGACCCAAUACUGACGCUGAGGCGCGAAAGCGUGGGGAGCAAACAGGAUUAGAUACCCUAGUAGUCC